rnacentral:rRNA from 1 species
UACGUAGGGGGCAAGCGUUGUCCGGAUUUAUUGGGCGUAAAGAGCGUGUAGGCGGCCAGGUAGGUCCGCUGUGAAAACUCGAGGCUCAACCUCGAGAUGUCGGCGGAAACCAUCUGGCUAGAGUCCGGAAGAGGAGAAUGGAAUUCCCGGUGUAGCGGUGAAAUGCGCAGAUAUCGGGAAGAACACCCGUGGCGAAAGGCGGUUCUCUGGGACGGUACUGACGCUGAGACGCGAAAGCGUGGGGAGCGAACAGG